ACGUGUACCAUUUGACAUACCUUCGUUGACAUUCCUGCAUAGGUUAUGUGCCACUAAUAAACUCAGAUAAACUUCAAGACUCAAGUCUGCGAUGAAUUGUAAAGCUUGGUACUGGGACCUUAAUUGAAUAAGGUCGGAAAUCAAAAAUUGGAGUAAGAGGAAGAGUUCGUGAUGAGUGAGAAAAACAUUAAUUCUGCUCUGGUGCGGAGGGUCAACAAAUUGCUGGAGUCCAGGGUGGAGCAUAAGGACACGCUGGAAGCUUUGAAGGAGUUGUCAACAUUUUUUACCGAAAACACGUUGAAUUCCCGUCGAAAUUUGCGUAGCAAGAUAGAGAGAAGGAGCCUGGCGAUAAACGAAGAAUUUCUGGCAACCUUCAAGGAGGUAAAGGAUUCCUUGGACGACGUUUAUCAAAAUGUUCUAGCAAUGAACACAGCUGUACAGUCUAUGACUAAUCGCUUGCAAGUUACAAAGGCUCAAACAUCACAACUGAUUGAGCAGACUACAAAGCUUCAAAGUGAAAGUCAAGUAUUAUCCAUGCAGCAGGAAGUAGCAAGUGCAUUUAUCAAAAAUUUUCAAUUGACACCAUCUGAAUUGACAGUUUUACAUGGAUCAGCCAGGGAGUCGCCUAUAACAGAGGAAUUUUUUUUUACAAUUAAUAAAGUGCAGGAUAUUCAUGGUAAAUGCAGAGUACUGAUGCAGUCUGGUUAUCAGACGUUGGCUCUGGAUAUCAUGCAAAGAAUGACACUUUUGCAAGAAUCUGCACUUGAACGGUUAUAUCGAUGGACGCAAACACAAUGUAAAAACAUAGAAAAUGAACGUCUGGCGCCAUUGCUCAUUAAGGCCAUGAAUAAACUACAAGAUAGGCCAGUGUUAUUUAAGUAUAUUCUGGAUGAAUAUUGUGUAGCUAGAAGAACUGCUUUGGUCGGAUCCUUCAUAGAUGCACUGACGUUAGGUGAAAGUUUUGGUGGAACACCUAAUCCUAUAGAAAUGCACGCCAAUGAUCCCAAGCGAUAUGUUGGUGAUAUGCUUGCAUGGCUGCAUCAAGUGAUUCCUGUGGAGAAAGAGAAUAUUCUUAUUUUAGUGAAAGGCUGUGAUAAGACAGAUGUGUCGGAUCAGGUGAAACAGGCGUUAAGUAACAUUACGGAAGGAUUAUGUCAUCCUUUAAAAUCAAGAAUAGAGCAUGUUAUAUCUACAGAGGCACCAGCGACAGUAUUAUACUCAGUUACAACAUUAAUCAGAUUUUAUCGCGCUAUUACUGAACAGGUCAUACCUGACAGUGUUUUGGAUCAGACAUUAUCAGAUUUAUUAACUUUGAGCGAAAAGAGUUUUCUAAGCAGGCUGCAGAGAGAAACGAGAAUCGCUCUCGGAGAGCGCGCGGAGCCUCCUGGAAAUGAUUUGGUCCCUGCUCCAUCAGUCUCUAGAUUAUUGUCACUUCUAAAUGAAAUAUUGUCCGUCGCCAGUAUAGCUGAAGACAGGGAAAAAGAUAUGUUACAGAUUGUGUCAUGUAUCAUUGAUCCAUUACUUCAAGAAGUUAAUGAAACAGCAUCCAGAUUGCCAACGGUAGAUAUGGCCGUUUAUCUUCUUAAUUGUAUGCAUCAGAUACAAUCGACGCUGGCAUUGUACGAGUACAUGGAUCAGAGAUUAGAAAGGUUACAGGUGAUUGGCACAAUCGGACGCACAAAUCGACACGCUUACAUCGGAGCAGGCUAGUUCUUUGGUAGCGCAUUUAAAUCUUGGGUCAAUUUACACUAUUCUGCAAGGACGCGAUCAGGGCCCACUCUCAUCCAUACCCGGCAUGGAUGCCCUUAGCGUGAAAGAGUUCACUAAUAAACUGGAAGCAUUUCUAGUGAUGCCGGACGUCCUGCUGCUACCGCAAAUAAGUUUGUUGCAGAGCAACAAUCAUCGGGUGAUUACCCAAAAACGAUCGUUCCAAGUGAUCGGGGCUAUAUAUAGGCAGUUGUACGAUGCCUGUCACGACCCGAAGAAUUUAUAUCAAAACCCCAGCGGUCUCUUUUCUAGAACACCCGAGGAUCUUCUUCAAACACUAAUUUCUCAAUAAUUUUAUCUAUAGACUUUCAAAGACAUCGUAUAUAUAUUUAUAAAUAUACAUAUUAUAUGUACAUAUUUAACAGAUAAUGAAGUAUACAAAAAUGAGCAUACUUGAUUCUUUAUAAACAUAAAAUAUGUUGAACUUAAAUGUUUUCAACUCGUGGAAUGUGAUUUAUUAAACGGUAGAUUUAUAUA